GAUGAACGCUGGCGGCGUGCCUAAUACAUGCCAGUCGAGCGAACAGACGAGAGUGCUUGCACUCUCUGACGUUAGCGGCGGACGGGUGAGUAACACGUGGGUAACCUACCUAUAAGACUGGGAUAACUUCGGGAAACCGGAGCUAAUACCGGAUAAUAUUUAGCUUCGCAUGAAGCAAUAGUGAAAGACGGUUCUGCUGUCACUUAUAGAUGGACCCGCGGUGUAUUAGCUAGUUGGUGAGGUAACGGCUCACCAAGGCGACGAUACAUAGCCGACCUGAGAGGGUGAUCGGCCACACUGGGACUGAGACACGGCCCAGACUCCUACGGGAGGCAGCAGUAGGGAAUCUUCCGCAAUGGACGAAAGUCUGACGGAGCAAUGCCGCGUGAGUGAAGAAGGUUUUCGGAUCGUAAAACUCUGUUGUAAGGGAAGAACAAGUACGUUAGUAACUGAACGUACCUUGACGGUACCUUACCAGAAAGCCACGGCUAACUACGUG
rnacentral:rRNA from 1 species